UUCUGAAUGUGUUUCUUUUUUCCUUUUUUUUUUUUCUCGAGUCUUACAGUUAAAGAGAAACACCUGUUUCAGGAAAGCUAACACUCUCACAAGACUUUGCUCAGCAGCUACCUGGAAUAUCUAAGCCUAGCUGUGAAUCAAGCCAAGCUAGAAGUUGAAGCCUGAAAUUAGUCAAUGCUGUGAGCGCAGUUCGGAGCCUUUUUAAAGUUUUUAUAGCCCAAGCAAGUGGCCUGGAAAUUACAUUAUUAUUGUUACAACCAUUCUCUCUCACAUUUUGACCAGAAGGUGUCAGGUGCUACCUGUGAACAGUUUCACACUACUGAAAGGCCUGAAACUAAGAGGCAUUUGUCCUUGAAACCAGUCAUGAAUGGAAGGUGAUGUUGAGAAGUCGUUAUCCAUCACUCUGGAAGAGUUGGUGAUGGGCAGACUGCCUGGCUUCUGGCAUGGCAUUUGGGUACAGGGGAUGGAAAAACAGAAGCUUAUCCAGAAAUCCUGAAAUACAUGGUCUGAUUUUUCCAGAACUGGAACAAGAGAAGCACCUCACCAAAAGAGAGCAAAUGCUGUCAUUUGACCUUUUCAGCCUUUGGAUUCUCAGUGCAUCUGACUCGACCAGGCAGGUCUGGGGAAGAGAAAAAUUAACAGCAGAUGGAUUUAUGAAAAGAGCUCAGUGGCAGAUGGUGCCUACAGAUAUUUACUGACAUGGCCUCGGUCUUACAGGGUGGGUUUUUUUCCCCUUUUAGUAGUGCUGUUAGUACAUGAGUGUGUGUGUGUGUGUGUUACGACAUAAUGCUGGCAGAUAGGGAUUACAUUGUUAGCAAGAGAAGAAACUCAGGGACUUCUAGUAUUGAGUUUGAGUAGUUCAGAGUUCCUCUUUGCUCAUGGUUUAAUCCAAUGGCAAGCAGCUGCGGUAGGAAUCUUUCUGGUCUCCUCCAUCUGUAAAUUCUUGAAUCACCAUUUUUCUGAAAUGGGUUCAUCUUCAUUGUACAGGGUUUUUAUCUUCUGGUAAUCAUUGUCACCUACACACUCAGACUCAGAGCUCUGACUGCCUUUCCACUAACGCUUCAGUUUUGUACUUCGAUAAUGAAGAUAAUGAUGCUGGACUUGAUUAUGAAAUGAGCUGAGUUUCACAGCUUAGAAUGUUUCUGUAUAUGGACUAGGUAUAAUUAAUUUCUUUCUGUUAUUACAUGCAAAAUCCUGUAACAGAUGGACUAGUAUAAUUUGGCAGAUAAUUUAUCUGACGUUUCCCUCAUCAAUCAUUAAACAAUUGGUAUAUUUCUUCAUUGUGCAGUCAGCUUUAAAUCCUAUUUUGUUAGAUGAUUCAUGGCAUACUGAUGGGAUUGGUCUAGAUCCAUCGAAAUCAAUGAGGAGACUGACUUGAACAGACUGUGAAUCAGACCUCAUUUUUAUACCAGUUGAUCUCAAAAGAUGGCAUAAUUAGUGAGUAAGAAGAUUCAUUUUAAGUUGUGUCUUGCUUUGUACUGGGGUUUUUCUGGAGAUGUUCCUCUGCAUAAUGCACAGAUAAGAAUGAAGCAAAUGUCGUUUUAUAUCCGUUUGCAGGGGCCUGUGUUGGAGGACAUGUUGCUGUGACAGUGGUGUCUGUAGAUGAUAUGUUGAAGGAGUGCAGAGUCAUGGUCUUACUACUGAAGUAGUAAAAUCCACUGAAGUCAUCCCAUUCCCUUCUCCUUCAGUAGUAGACACCUCCUCAUGUCAUGGAACAGAGCCACGAUACUUGGUAGUUGACUACUUGAUGUUUAUUAAAACUUCCUUCUCCCAAGACAGUGAUUUUUUUUUCCUAUGUAAUUUUAGAAGAAUGCUUGAAAAAGGUGACUUAGAUGAACCCUACAGGCUCAUUAAACAGUGGCAACUGAUAAAUCUUUUCUUUGAUAGUCUCUUGAAUUUUUAAGUCUUGGAGUUGGUAAUGCCCAUACUAUAGAUGUACGGAAAUGAAUAUUUCAGAAGUGGGCCAUACCUUUUAAGUGGGGUGAUUUGAAUAAAUGAUUUCACUUUUCUUCUGCCUUUUAAUUA
ensembl:lncRNA